GAUGAACGCUGGCGGCGUGCCUAAUACAUGCAAGUCGAGCGAACAGACGAGGAGCUUGCUCCUCUGACGUUAGCGGCGGACGGGUGAGUAACACGUGGAUAACCUACCUAUAAGACUGGGAUAACUUCGGGAAACCGGAGCUAAUACCGGAUAAUAUAUUGAACCGCAUGGUUCAAUAGUGAAAGACGGUUUUGCUGUCACUUAUAGAUGGAUCCGCGCCGCAUUAGCUAGUUGGUAAGGUAACGGCUUACCAAGGCAACGAUGCGUAGCCGACCUGAGAGGGUGAUCGGCCACACUGGAACUGAGACACGGUCCAGACUCCUACGGGAGGCAGCAGUAGGGAAUCUUCCGCAAAGGGCGAAAGCCUGACGGAGCAACGCCGCGUGAGUGAUGAAAGUCUUCGGAUCGUAAAACUCUGUUAUUAGGGAAGAACAAAUGUGUAAGUAACUAUGCACGUCUUGACGGUACCUAAUCAGAAAGCCACGGCUAACUACGUG
rnacentral:rRNA from 1 species